rnacentral:rRNA from 1 species
GAGUUUGAUCCUGGCUCAGAUUGAACGCUGGCGGCAUGCCUUACACAUGCAAGUCGAACGGUAACGCGGGGGCAACCCUGGCGACGAGUGGCGAACGGGUGAGUAAUACAUCGGAACAUAUCCUGUAGCGGGGGAUAACCUGUCGAAAGAUAGGCUAAUACCGCAUACGAUCUACGGAUGAAAGCGGGGGACCGCAAGGCCUCGCACUAUUGGAGUGGCCGAGGUCAGAUUAGCUAGUUGGUGGGGUAAAAGCCUACCAAGGCGACGAUCUGUAGCUGGUCUGAGAGGACGAUCAGCCACACUGGAACUGAGACACGGUCCAGACUCCUACGGGAGGCAGCAGUGGGGAAUUUUGGACAAUGGGCGCAAGCCUGAUCCAGCCAUGCCGCUGAGUGAAGAAGGCCUUCGGGUUGUAAAGCUCUUUCGGUGAAGACGAAACGGUUAGCGUUAAUAACGCUGACUAAUGACGGUACUCACAGAAGAAGCACCGGCUAACUACGUGCCAGCAGCCGCGGUAAUACGUAGGGUGCAGGCGUUAAUCGGAAUUACUGGGCGUAAAGCGUGCGCAGGCGGUCUGCUAAGACAGGUGUGAAAUCCCCGGGCUUAACCUGGGAAUUGCGCUUGUAACUGGCAGGCUAGAGUGUGGCAGAGGGGGGUGGAAUUCCACGUGUAGCAGUGAAAUGCGUAGAUAUGUGGAGGAACACCGAUGGCGAAGGCAGCCCCCUGGGUUAACACUGACGCUCAGGCACGAAAGCGUGGGGAGCAAACAGGAUUAGAUACCCUGGUAGUCCACGCCCUAAACUAUGUCAACUAGUUGUCGGGGAAGAAAUUCCUUGGUAACGAAGCUAACGCGUGAAGUUGACCGCCUGGGGAGUACGGCCGCAAGGUUAAAACUCAAAGGAAUUGACGGGGACCCGCACAAGCGGUGGAUUAUGUGGAUUAAUUCGAUGCAACGCGAAAAACCUUACCUACCCUUGACAUGCUAGGAAGUCCGCAGAGAUGUGGACGUGCCCGAAAGGGAACCUAGACACAGGUGCUGCAUGGCUGUCGUCAGCUCGUGUCGUGAGAUGUUGGGUUAAGUCCCGCAACGAGCGCAACCCUUGCCAUUAGUUGCGACAUUUAGUUGAGCACUCUAAUGGGACCGCCGGUGACAGACCGGAGGAAGGUGGGGAUGACGUCAAGUCCUCAUGGCCCUUAUGGGUAGGGCUUCACACGUAAUACAAUGGUCGGUACAGAGGGCUGCCAACCCGCGAGGGGGAGCUAAUCCCAGAAAGCCGAUCGUAGUCCGGAUUGUAGUCUGCAACUCGACUGCAUGAAGCCGGAAUCGCUAGUAAUCGCGGAUCAGCAUGUCGCGGUGAAUACGUUCCCGGGUCUUGUACACACCGCCCGUCACACCAUGGGAGUGGGUUCCACCAGAAGUAGGUAGCCUAACCGCAAGGGGGGCGCUUACCACGGUGAGAUUCAUGA